rnacentral:rRNA from 1 species
GACGAACGCUGGCGGCGUGCUUAACACAUGCAAGUCGAACGGAAAGGCCCUGCUUUUGUGGGGUGCUCGAGUGGCGAGCGGGUGAGUAACACGUGAGUAACCUGCCCUUGACUUUGGGAUAACUUCAGGAAACUGGGGCUAAUACCGGAUAGGAGCUCCUGCUGCAUGGUGGGGGUUGGAAACUUUCGGCGGUUGGGGAUGGACUCGCGGCUUAUCAGCUUGUUGGUGGGGUAGUGGCUUACCAAGGCUUUGACGGGUAGCCGGCCUGAGAGGGUGACCGGCCACAUUGGGACUGAGAUACGGCCCAGACUCCUACGGGAGGCAGCAGUGGGGAAUAUUGCACAAUGGGCGGAAGCCUGAUGCAGCAACGCCGCGUGCGGGAUGACGGCCUUCGGGUUGUAAACCGCUUUCGCCUGUGACGAAGCGUGAGUGACGGUAAUGGGUAAAGAAGCACCGGCUAACUACGUGCCAGCAGCCGCGGUGAUACGUAGGGUGCGAGCGUUGUCCGGAUUUAUUGGGCGUAAAGGGCUCGUAGGUGGUUGAUCGCGUCGGAAGUGUAAUCUUGGGGCUUAACCCUGAGCGUGCUUUCGAUACGGGUUGACUUGAGGAAGGUAGGGGAGAAUGGAAUUCCUGGUGGAGCGGUGGAAUGCGCAGAUAUCAGGAGGAACACCAGUGGCGAAGGCGGUUCUCUGGGCCUUUCCUGACGCUGAGGAGCGAAAGCGUGGGGAGCGAACAGGCUUAGAUACCCUGGUAGUCCACGCUGUAAACGGUGGGUACUAGGUGUGGGGUCCAUUCCACGGGUUCCGUGCCGUAGCUAACGCUUUAAGUACCCCGCCUGGGGAGUACGGCCGCAAGGCUAAAACUCAAAGGAAUUGACGGGGCCCCGCACAAGCGGCGGAGCAUGCGGAUUAAUUCGAUGCAACGCGUAGAACCUUACCUGGGUUUGACAUGGAUCGGGAGUGCUCAGAGAUGGGUGUGCCUCUUUUGGGGUCGGUUCACAGGUGGUGCAUGGCUGUCGUCAGCUCGUGUCGUGAGAUGUUGGGUUAAGUCCCGCAACGAGCGCAACCCUUGUUCACUGUUGCCAGCACGUUAUGGUGGGGACUCAGUGGAGACCGCCGGGGUCAACUCGGAGGAAGGUGGGGAUGACGUCAAGUCAUCAUGCCCCUUAUGUCCAGGGCUUCACGCAUGCUACAAUGGCUGGUACAGAGAGUGGCGAGCCUGUGAGGGUGAGCGAAUCUCGGAAAGCCGGUCUCAGUUCGGAUUGGGGUCUGCAACUCGACCUCAUGAAGUCGGAGUCGCUAGUAAUCGCAGAUCAGCAACGCUGCGGUGAAUACGUUCCCGGGGCU